GAGGGCACAGCUUAAAUGGUAGAGUGAGUGCUUAGCAUGCACUAGGUCCUGGGUUCAGUCCCUGGUACCUCCA
rnacentral:tRNA from 1 species